AGAAUGAACGCUGGCGGCGUGCUUAACACAUGCAAGUCGAACGGAAUCCAAGGAGCUUGCUCCAGAAGAUUUAGUGGCGAACGGGUGAGUAACACGUGAGCAACCUACCCCAGAGACUGGGAUAACACCGGGAAACCGGUGCUAAUACCAGAUGUCUUCCCUUGACCGCAUGAUCGGGGGAAGAAAUGAAUUUCGCUCUGGGAGGGGCUCGCGGUCCAUCAGCUUGUUGGCGGGGUAACGGCCCACCAAGGCAUCGACGGAUAGCUGGUCUGAGAGGACGAUCAGCCACACUGGAACUGAGACACGGUCCAGACUCCUACGGGAGGCAGC
rnacentral:rRNA from 1 species